ensembl:lncRNA
CCCCUGGAAUAUGGAGGGCCAUAUAUCAUACAUACUUGCACGUAGACAUAUGAAACUCGGUACACAUAUAGAUCUCAUCUAUCCAAACAACUUUCGUAUUGCAUGUCAUAGGCUCCGCCCAACAGGAAGUUCGCUAUUUAGGGUUAAGUAUUCGUAUUUUCCGUCAAAGUUUUGGGGGCUUUUGGGGCCCUUAACAUGCUCAAAAACUCUUGAAAAUUUGCACACACCUUAGAAUCUGUGACCAUUAGGAGGCUGCAGAGGCUGAGACCCGGGCGUGGCACAGGGGCUCUACGGCGCCCCCUGGAACACAGUCAGAAAUGUUGAUGUAUAGUUCAAACAUACUUGCACGUAUUCAUAUGAAUCUCAGUACACAUAUAGAUCUCAUUGUGCCGAACAACUUUCGUAUUGCAUGUCAUAGGCUCCGCCCAACAGGAAGUCAGCUAUUUAGAGCUAUGUAAAAAGCGCAUGCUCUGGAAUUUGAUAUACUUGUCAUAGGUUUUUUACCCGAUUGCCACCAAACUCAGUCAACAUGAUCUCAAGACAUUGGGGAUGAAAAAUUGCCAGGGGAUUUUUGAUAUCUCGAACGGUUUGCUCGUGGCGAGGCGUUGAAAUUAUGGCGAGAAAUGAGAAACAGGAAGUGUCUAAUAACAUCCACAUACAGUUCCUGAUUUUAAUUAAACUUGAUCAGUUUAUUCGUUGUAUGAUGUCAGUCACAUAGACGUCACUAUUAGGAGUCAAAGUUAUAGCGCCACCAACUGGCAGCAGGAUGUGUGUCAUUUUCAAAAUGCUUCAAAUUCAGCAUCUUAUUUUUACUCAAUUUGCUUCAAACUUCAUAAGAAUAAUGUCAAAACAUGGCCCAUGUAAAACUGUUGAGGGGAUAUUGAUAUCUAAUAUAGUGUUGCCAUGGCAACAUGUCAAACUUGAAUAUUUUUCCGGUGAUUUUGAGGCAGAUAACAUGCUCAGAAUAUCAUGAAAAUCAAAACACAUAUCAGUAUUAAUGAUAGCUAGAACAUGGCAAUAUCUCAUAAAAGGGCGUGGAGGAGGCACUCUAUAGCGCCACCUUUUGUCAAAAGUGGGGGGCUUAGAUUUAGCUACAGACCCCAAACUCUGUACAUAUGUUGUUCUUAUUAAGAUGGACAACUUUCUAAUUUACAGUCAUUAGCUACGACCAACAGGAAGUCGGCUAUUUUGAUUUGAAUAUGGAUUUUUGGAAAAAUAUAGCUGUGAAUUAAUGCAUACUGCUCAGAGGAGAAGUACACUAUACACACCAAACUUUGUCUACAUGAUGCCAAAACAUUGAGGAACUUAAAUUGCUAAUGGAUUUUGGAUAGCUUGAACGGUUUUGUCAUGGUGAUCUUUUGAAAUGACAGUAA